rnacentral:rRNA from 1 species
AGCGAACGCUGGCGGCAUGCCUAACACAUGCAAGUCGAACGAGACCUUCGGGUCUAGUGGCGCACGGGUGCGUAACGCGUGGGAACCUGCCCUUAGGUUCGGAAUAACUCCCCGAAAGGGGUGCUAAUACCGUAUAAUGUCUUCGGACCAAAGAUUUAUCGCCUUUGGAUGGGCCCGCGUUGGAUUAGCUAGUUGGUAGGGUAAAAGCCUACCAAGGCGACGAUCCAUAGCUGGUCUGAGAGGAUGAUCAGCCACACUGGGACUGAGACACGGCCCAGACUCCUACGGGAGGCAGCAGUGGGGAAUAUUGGACAAUGGGCGAAAGCCUGAUCCAGCAAUGCCGCGUGAGUGAUGAAGGCCUUAGGGUUGUAAAGCUCUUUUACCCGGGAUGAUAAUGACAGUACCGGGAGAAUAAGCUCCGGCUAACUCCGUG